rnacentral:sRNA from 1 species
GGUGCGGUCGGAAUCCGCAGCAAUGCGGAGCCCUGUGGCAGGGGCGUGCCAUACACAAACCGAAGUAGUGGAGA